GACGAACGCUGGCGGCGUGCUUAACACAUGCAAGUCGAGCGGGAUCCAACCGGUGGCAACACCGGGGAAGAUCUAGCGGCGAACGGGUGAGUAACACGUGAGCAACCUGCCCCGAAGACUGGGAUAACACCGGGAAACCGGUGCUAAUACCGGAUGUCGUCAUUAGGCCGCAUGACCUGAUGAUGAAGGAUCAUCGCUUCGGGAGGGGCGUCGCGGGCGUAUCAGCUGUUGGUGGGGUAACGGGCCUACCAAGGCGACGACGGCUAGCUGGUCUGAGAGGAC
rnacentral:rRNA from 1 species